rnacentral:tRNA from 1 species
GGUUGUGUAGUGUAGAGGUUAUCACUGUGGAUUCUGAUAUGGCUGUUGCAGCUUGAACAUUCCACUAACCUCGGUUCGAAUCCGAGCACGACCA